AUGUUAUUAUUCCCUUACGUUAACGUGAGUUAUAGUUAUCCUUAAUGUAAGGCCGGCUGACCAGAUUACUGAUCACAGAGAGUUAUUCUCCCGCCGACCUUACAUCCUAGAUUGCGAUGGCAACGAUUGUCGCCAUGUUAUAAAAUAUUCCACCUUUAAUCAUGUUAUUCUUCCCUUACGUUAACCUGAGUUAUAGUUAUCCUUAAUGUAAGGCCGGCUGACCAGGUUACUGAUCACAGAGAGUUAUUCUCCCGCCGACCUUACAUCAUAGAUUGCAGUAGCAACGAUU
rnacentral:lncRNA from 1 species